AUUGAACGCUGGCGGCAGGCCUAACACAUGCAAGUCGAACGAGUGGCGGACGGGUGAGUAAUGUCUGGGAAACUGCCCGAUGGAGGGGGAUAACUACUGGAAACGGUAGCUAAUACCGCAUACCAUCGGAUGUGCCCAGAUGGGAUUAGCUAGUAGGUGGGGUAACGGCUCACCUAGGCGACGAUCCCUAGCUGGUCUGAGAGGAUGACGAGCAAGAUGUGAACUGAGACGCGGUACAAACACCUGCGGGAGGAAGUGGUGUAGCAUAUGGGACAAUGGGCGUAAGACUAAUACAGCCAGGACGCUGGUGUGAAGAAGGCGUUUGGAUUGUAAAGAACUUUCAAAGAAGAAGCGUUAAACACAGAAAAGGCAACGGCUAACUCGGUGCCAGCAGCCGCGGUAAUUC
rnacentral:rRNA from 1 species